rnacentral:rRNA from 1 species
UACGGGGGGGGCAAGCGUUGUUCGGAAUUACUGGGCGUAAAGGGCUCGUAGGCGGCCAACUAAGUCAGACGUGAAAUCCCUCGGCUUAACCGGGGAACUGCGUCUGAUACUGGUUGGCUUGAAUCCGGGAGAGGGAUGUGGAAUUCCAGGUGUAGCGGUGAAAUGCGUAGAUAUCUGGAGGAACACCGGUGGCGAAGGCGGCAUCCUGGACCGGUAUUGACGCUGAGGAGCGAAAGCCAGGGGAGCCAAACGGG